rnacentral:rRNA from 1 species
UACGGAGGGUGCAAGCGUUAUCCGGAUUCACUGGGUUUAAAGGGUGCGUAGGCGGAUAUGUAAGUCCGUGGUGAAAUCUCUGGGCUUAACCCGGAAACUGCCAUGGAUACUAUGUGUCUUGAAUAUUGUUGAGGUGAGCGGAAUAUGUCAUGUAGCGGUGAAAUGCUUAGAUAUGACAUAGAACACCAAUUGCGAAGGCAGCUCACUAAGCAAAUAUUGACGCUGAGGCACGAAAGCGUGGGGAGCAAACAGG